rnacentral:lncRNA from 12 species
UGACUUCACAAAAAUGUGAAAUCUGGCACUUAGCAGAGCCAGAAGGAAACAUCUGGAUGCCUUUGAUCAAAGAUGCUUGUGGAAAAUGAGACUGCAGAGCAUCAAGAAAGGCAGAGUUUGAGAAGGAAAAAGAAAGAAUGAAAUUCUACUCAGCAGAGAAUGAAUCAGUCUGUGAUCAGAAGAUGCUGAAGCAUCACACCCCAUCUAGUGCCAGCUGGGGGAACU